CAGCCGCCGCGGUAACACCAGCCCUUCGAGUGGUGGGGACUAUUAUUUGGCCUAAAGCGUCCGUAGCUGGCUGUAUCCGUCUCCCGGUAAAUCCGGCGUCCUAAGCGUCGGUUCUCGGGCGAUACCGUACAGCUAGAGGGUGGGAUAGGUGAGCGGUAUUUCUGGGGUAGGGGCGAAAUCCUUUGAUCCCAGGAGGACCACCAGUGGCGAAGGCUGCUCACUAGAACACGCCUGACGGUCAGGGACGAAAGCUGGGGCAGCGAACCGGAUUAGAUACCCGGGUAGUCCCAGCUGUAAACGAUGCAGACUAGGUGUUGGAACGGCUACGUGCCGCUUCAGUGCCGCAGAGAAGUCAUUAAGUCUGCCGCCUGGGGAGUACGGCCGCAAGGCUGAAACUUAAAGGAAUUGGCGGGGGAGCAC
rnacentral:rRNA from 1 species